UUGAUGAAUUGAAUUUCUCAGUUGUGGAGUACUCUACUCUUUCGAUCUACAAUGCCUACUGGUACUUUCUCAUAGAAUAGAUCCUCUUGAAGUAAAAAGGGCUCAUGGGACAGGGUGUAUGAGGAGUCUGGGUUGUACUUGUGUAGCACAGAUACGUGGAACACAUUAUGAAUCCUAGAUAGCUCUAAAGGUAGUGCUAG
rnacentral:lncRNA from 1 species